UUUUCUGAAUUUAAGAAGCUAGGUUGAUUGGGUUUAACAGAACAUGUUGAUGGAAGGUUUAAUUGAAAACUGGAAGAAAUCUGUUGCUUUUCCCCACCCCCAGGAUAGCCUUUUCUCGCUCCUUGUAUUUUAAUCGUUUUCCUUACAUUUUUACCUCCAUUAAGCCACCCUAUCUAAACAUAACCUCAAAUAAAAGCGAGUUCACAUGUAAUGUAAUUUAAUGUGCAAAAAUGUCAGAAGUCACUCCCCAUGGCGAAGAUUUUAAAAGGCACCAUUUUAGCAUUCUCUCCAGAAAGACAUUUCCUGAGUUACAAUGUCUCAGACAACAAAGUGAAUACAUUCAGACCUUGAAAGGUCAAGGAAUAAUGAAACCAUCUCAUUAUGCAUUUACGAAAAUGAAGAAACUUACACUGAGCAAAACUUCAGAAUAUUUGCUGUUUGCAAAUGUAUACUCCGUCGUUUCCAUCUCCCCUUUGUAUUUUUCAUGACAUUUUCAUGAUAUUUGGGGGGGGGGGAAGCGCAAAAACAUGCAUAAGAAAUCAUCUGUUUGCAAAAAAAAAAAAAAGAAAGAAAAGAAAGAAAGAACGAAAGAGAAAGUUAAGUAGUAAAAUAACUAAAGUUUUAGAGAAGGAAGUCCUGCCAGGCUGAAGUAAAUAUGUGAUUUCAUGACUUAACGUUUCAUAAACUGAAUUUGCAGUUGCUGUGCUUUCAUGAUUCAUUCAUUAAACACUGUUCUAAAUUAAAGUAAGAAUCAUGCUUUUAUGUAGAAUUGCUCAACUGGGGGAUUUCCAGAUCUCACUCAGUGAAAUCUUGGGGGUAGGUCUAUAAUAUCAGAGAUCCCCUACCAUGCACCACCGCAAACAGCUCAUCUACAUGGAUCGCAGCUGUGCAAGAGACUUCAAAAAGUCUAUUUUAACUGACUUUAUUCUGCGAUGUGACAAAAUGGAGCAUUUUCACCACCAGGCGCUUGAAAAAGGGGAAAGUUUUAUUUUUGAAUGAACAAAUGGACAAGGAAAGAACAUGGGACAAGAGGCCUUGCCCCUAAUUUUCAUUGCACGCCCGUGGUCUGCAGAUGUUGCCCGUUGGGUGCACUGUGGUGGGCCCCCAGUGACGCCGCCAUGGAUUGGUACGGACCGCGGCACACGUGGGCUCUCCCACCAAGGAUGCCAUCCAGUGAUGGUUGAGAGAACGGGGAUAUGAUCCCUAGAGGACGGAUGGGAUUUGCCCCAUGGGGUGAUGAAGCCCAGGCAUUCCCAAGUCCUGCUUCUAGCAUCUGAACAAAACAAGCAGAGGCCUUCCUCCUCUUCCCCUUGUGCCCAUUGUAGAUGAGGGUUUGCCUGUCACUGGCUCAGUUUCCCCCUCCUUCUUCAGGGAAGUAGGAUCCUUAAACAUCAUGCUUAAGAUGACAGAUUUCAACAGCACUUAAGAAUUUAGAUAUUUACGGCCACAUGUCACAACAUUAUCCCCGGGACAUAUGUCAACAAAUACACUCUAAAGUAAAUCUGAGCAUGAUUUACAUUUCCUUCUACUCACGUGGAGAUGGUCAUAAAACACACACUCCAGGAAAUGUCACCUCCAUGCACAACCUGCUGAGGGACAUUCUCGCUGAUGUGCAAGGAUGCUGAAAACAUAUCACUCAUAAGUCUUCCUGGAAAUAAAUAGGCAUUUGGAGAUGUACUCAAAUGAAAUGUUGGAUUAAUCAAAAUAGUUUAAAAAAAAUACCAUCGGAGGCAGUAAGGUGUGAAAAAGAGGCAGCAAAUGGGGGAUCUGUUUAACUACAGAAUGAAGUCUAAGUAAUGGAGAUAAAUAUCAUCACAAGACGGAACGUAAAUGUUAUAACUUUUGGAAGGUUGUAUAUUCACGUGAUAGAUGAUGAGGACAUUUUUUUUUUCAAAGAUGGUUAAAUAAUCCUUCGUAAAGCAGAAGAAAUAAUGCUCAUACAUCAAGUCGAUGGCUUACAAAAUGAAAAACUUGUUGAACUGAUAAAUAAAUUCAAAACAUGAAUCUCUGAUUUCCCCCUAAGAGAAGGUCAAGAAGAGGAGAGAGAGAGAGAGAGAGAGAGAGAGAAGAUGGAAGGAGGGAAGGAAAGAAGGACGGAACGAGGGACAAAACUUCACAAAUUAAAUGUCUGAGAACAGAACUGAAUCAAUAAAUUAAUAAAGUCGUAAUGUGAGGACUGUGACAGUCCUGUGUUAGUUUUAUUAAUCACAUAUAUGUGUUUUGUUUUGUUUUUACAAAGCUAGUCUAGCAGUUGAGGACCAUCUUUCUUCCCCGUGGUGCAGGUUGCUUCUAAACACGCAUGAGUGGUCCCGCGCCAGGAAGGGAUGCUCCUCUCAGCAGCCGGCACAGACCAUAAAUAGUCAUUUGACGACACAGUGAUGACAUCAGGAUCGGUCACACUGCAUCCCUGAGGGUGGCGUCAAGAGCAGAAACCAGGGAGAGGUUGCAGGAUAAUGAGAGGUAAUAGGGAUGGAACCAACCGCUGAGCGUGACAGCUAUGAUUGAAGCGUCUAUCCCCGGUCCCCAAGCUUGAACGGAGCUGGUCCAAUCACGAAUGGGUGUUCAUGACGGCUGGAAAUGCUGGGUCUGGGGAACAUGCACCAGGAGGGGGAUUGAGUGGGGGUGUUGGAGGAGGACAGUACGAAAUGAGACCAGAGGGGCGAGGGGGCACAGCCUUUGGACAA
rnacentral:lncRNA from 1 species